GGAGGAAGAACAAAACAAGUUAGAGCUGAAGAAGAGAGCAGAGGAGAUUAAAACUAUCAUGCUUGAUCUGUUACAAGAGGAGCGGAACCUACGACACGAACAGAAUGAACGCCUUAAACCCACACAGACUGCGAUAUCUCAAACGAAGGCAACAAGAAAGGAAGCAGAAGAACACGAUCAUCAUAUACGUAAUGAGAGAGGGUCGCUGAACGAGGCGAAAAAGGCAGCAGAAGAAAGCCAUCAACACCUACGAAAUAGGAUGGAUUCAUUUAAGAAGAAAAUGAAGG